AACCUGAAGACCCUCACAGUCACCUUCCCCAUCUCCACCCUCCAGUAUUCAUCAGACAGGAGCAAUGGCUCAGCCACGUUCCACUCCACUGAGAGGGUCCUGCAGAGCCUGCUGGAUCCUUGUUCAAGAAGAGCAGCCUGGGCCUCUUCUCCUUGAGUUGCAGACUGGUCUCCCUCAGGCCUGUGAAGGAUGGGGGAGCCACCUGUGUGGACGCUGUCUGCACCCACCACCGUGACCCCGUGGGCCACCAUGCCUCUGUGCUGGGAGCUGAGAGUCUCCACCUGUCUGCUCUUCCUCUCGGUGGCUCCAGGCUCUGCACCCUGGAGUUUAUG